UACAGAGGUGGCAAGCGUUGUUCGGAAUUACUGGGCGUAAAGGGCGCGUAGGCGGCCUUCUAAGUCAGACGUGAAAUCCCCCGGCUUAACCUGGGAACUGCGUCUGAUACUGGAGGGCUUGAGUAUGGGAGAGGGAUGUAGAAUUCCAGGUGUAGCGGUGAAAUGCGUAGAUAUCUGGAGGAAUACCGGUGGCGAAGGCGGCGUUCUGGACUGCAACUGACACUGAUGAACGAAAGCCAGGGGAGCAAACGGG
rnacentral:rRNA from 1 species